rnacentral:rRNA from 1 species
CCUACGGGAGGCAGCAGUGGGGGAUAUUGGACAAUGGGGGGAACCCUGAUCCAGCGACGCCGCGUGAGUGAAGAAGUAUUUCGGUAUGUAAAGCUCUGUCAGCAGGGAAGAAAGAAAUGACGGUACCUGACCAAGAAGCCCCGGCUAACUACGUGCCAGCAGCCGCGGUAAUACGUAGGCGGCUUUGCAAGUCAGAAGUGAAAUCCAUGGGCUUAACCCAUGAACUGCUUUUGAAACUGCAGAGCUUGAGUGGAGUAGAGGUAGGCGGAAUUCCCGGUGUAGCGGGGAAAUGCGUAGAGAUCGGGAGGAACACCAGUGGCGAAGGCGGCCUACUGGGCUCUAACUGACGCUGAGGCACGAAAGCGUGAGUAGCAAACAGGAUUAGAUACCCGUGUAGUC